ACUAUAGGCAUACUAGUAUUCGUUACUAUUUAAUAUUUUAACUUUUAUUGCGCCCAUCGAUUUAUUGUUAUGAUUCAUCCCAUGGCUAUACUCAGGUCGAACUUUCUGUUUACAAAAAGUUUUGUAGUCAUCGGGCGUUGACGUUCUUCAGCCGCUGAAACGCAAUAGUUCAUAUACGUUCAAAUAUUUUAUAGAAUUUAUUGACGAAAAUUUGGUUUUUAAAACUGACAGUAAAAAAAAAAUAAAUAAAUUUUAAACUACGAUGCCUAUUAGAUAUCUUAUUCUCCAUGGGAGCCGUAGUCAAGAUGAGUGCUCUGUCUAUGGACAUGAUGAUCAUCUCGGUUCGCUUUUAAAAAAUAAAUUCGGAAGUUCUGUAGCAUUCUUUGGUCAAAACGACCAUCGUUUACGUCUGAAAGCGCAUGCAUCAGUAGUUUUGAAUUUUUUGGGCAAUCUCAACUAUAACGUUUUAAGCCAGUCUGGCUACUUAAAGGCGGACACCACCGAAUACAUAACUUGGACUCUAGCAAAAACUAAUUAGUAUAAUUAUUGUAAUACAAAUUACUCAAUUAACUCAUGUGUGGACCACAGUUUACAAUAGUACAAAAAAUGAUUAAUAUACGUUACAGAAAAAGAAUUUAAUAUAUAAUCCAAUUUAUGUCGAUGUAAAGACAAUUGAAGUACAAAAAUAAAGUUAUUAAUUUUGAAAAAAAAAUGUAUCUUUUUUAAAAUUCGAGCUGUAACUCUUAUAGUUUUAAAAUUAAAUAGAUUAUUGAAAUACACGAAAAAAUUUCUAAUCAGUAUAUUUUAAAUUUUAUCUAUGACAAGGUAAGUAUACAAUAUGCGUCCUACAUAGGCAGGCGUCACAUUGAAACAUUUUGAAUUCCCAAAAAAAUAAUCUACACCAUUAAUCUACACUAAAUACUAUACUAUAGCGUUAGACUUUUUACUAUUGUCAAAAAAAUAUUCUAGUUGUCGUCAGGCGUUGAUGUUCUUCAGACGCUAGAAAAGUAAUUGUAAUAUAUACUGCGUUACUAAUUCCAAAAGUAAAAAAAAGCAACUCUUUAACCACGAUGUCUGAUAAAAAUCAAUAUAUUGUUCUCCAUGGGGACCUUGGCAUUGAGCAGAGCUAUUUAUAUGGAUAUGAUGAAAAUCUCAGUGCGAUUUUGCAGCAAAAUUAUACAAAAAUUCCAUUACCUUUUCCAUACAAACAUCGUUUAGUUCUCAAAGAGAAUCCAGAAUUGGUUCUAAAUUUUCUGGCCAGUCUCAAUUAUAGAAUUGUAAGCCAGUCUAGCGCGGGAAAUCCCGAUCAUGUAAUGUGGACACUAUCAAAAAACUAAUUAGCGCAAUUAUUGUGAAAAAAAAAAUUGAUCGUUUCACUCGUGUGUGGACUAUCAGAAAUUACGCCCAAAAAAUGAUUUCUAUAAUUUACAAAAAAAAAAAUUUAAUAUAAAAUUCAAUUUGUGUGUCGAUGUAAUAACAAUCAAAGUACAAAAAUAAAGUUUUUAUUUUGUAAAACAAAAAUGUCUUUUUUAAUU